CCCCUCUCAGGGUCGCACCUGGAGAGUUUCCAGUACUCUACCAGUCCCGUCUAUUGGAGGGAGGGUCAAGCAGAGGCUUAUCCAUUCCAUUCCUAGCUUGGCUAGUGGCUAGUGAGUGGAAGAGGGACGGCUACAGAU